rnacentral:lncRNA from 1 species
UGUUUCACCGCGUGGGAAACAACGCCAUCGGAGUUUCACCAUGGUGAAACUACUUCCUUCUCUUUCCUCUUCGUUUCAUGCAAAAAGUGCAGUUUUGCUGACAUGACGCUCUAAUAAAUGUGCAUGACAUCCUGGUGAAACCUCCAUUGAGACUAGCCUUAGGGAUUGCAUUAAUCCCAACUGGAGUAGGGCCUUGUUUAGUUCUCAGACAAUUUUGUAAUAAAAAUAAUAAUUAAUUGUAUAGUUUAUCUGUAAUUUGCAAGAUAAAUUUUUUGAGCUUAAUUAGUACUAGAUGAUUGAAUAAUAUUUUGUUCCUAUUUUGAAAAAAAAGAGUAAACAAUGACC